UACGGAGGAUGCGAGCGUUAUCCGGAUUUAUUGGGUUUAAAGGGUGCGUAGGCGGGAUGCCAAGUCAGCGGUAAAAAUGCGGUGCUCAACGCCGUCGAGCCGUUGAAACUGGCGUUCUUGAGUGGGCGAGAAGUAUGCGGAUGCGUGGUGUAGCGGUGAAAUGCAUAGAUAUCACGCAGAACUCCGAUUGCGAAGGCAGCAUACCGGCGCCCUACUGACGCUGAGGCACGAAAGCGUGGGUAUCGAACAGG
rnacentral:rRNA from 1 species